CCGUGCAGCCGGGGAGAUAGCGGUGCCCUGUACCUGCAAUCCGCUACAGCAGGGGUGAUGUCUUUGCCGAGGAUCAUCAUCUGUAGAGCAGCCCUGUAUAAGUGGCGUUGACGCCUGGGUCUCGCGCAACAGAAACCUGUGAACCGUGUCAGGUCAGGAAUGGAGCAGCACUAAGCAGGACCUUUUGUGUGCCGCGAGGGCGCCUGGGCCGAGUUAACUGUACAGGUAACGUCUAUGGGUGUGAUUCGAAGCAGGACGCACGG
rnacentral:SRP_RNA from 1 species